rnacentral:rRNA from 1 species
UUCCGGUUGAUCCUGCCGCCGGCCACUGCUAUCAGGUUUCGAUUAAGCCAUGCGAGUCAAGGGGUCGUAAGACACCGGCAUACCGCUCAGUAACACGCGGAUAAUCUGCCCCCAGGUGAGGGAUAACUUCGGGAAACUGAGGCUAAUACCUUAUAGUCACUUUAUGCUGGAAUGCUUAGGUGAUGAAAGUUCCGACGCCUGAGGAUGAGUCUGCGGCCUAUCAGGUAGUAUGUGGUGUAAAGGACCACAUAGCCGAGGACGGGUACGGGCCCUGAAAGGGGGAGCCCGGAGAUGGACUCUGAGACAUUAGUCCAGGCCCUACGGGGCGCAGCAGGCGCGAAAACUGUGCAAUGCGCGAAAGCGCGACACGGGAAACCUGAGUGCCUUGACUUUUGUCAAGGCUUUUCUUAGGCCUAAAAAGCCUAAGGAAUAAGAGCUGGGUAAGACGGGUGCCAGCCGCCGCGGUAACACCCGCAGCUCGAGUGGUGGUCACUUUUAUUGAGCCUAAAGCGUUCGUAGCCGGCUCUGUAAAUCUUCAGACAAAUUCUUCUGCUUAACGGAAGAUCCUCUGGAGAGACUGCAGAGCUAGGGACCGGGUGAGGUUGAAGGUACUUCUGGGGUAGGGGUAAAAUCCUGUAAUCCUGGAAGGACGACCGGUGGCGAAGGCGUUCAACUAGAACGGAUCCGACGGUGAGGAACGAUGGCUAGGGGAGCAAACCGGAUUAGAUACCCGGGUAGUCCUAGCUGUAAACACUGCCCACUUGGUGUUGCUUCUCCGAUUAAGGGGGAGCAGUGCCGGAGCGAAGAUGUUAAGUGGGCCGCUUGGGGAGUAUGGUCGCAAGGCUGAAACUUAAAGGAAUUGGCGGGGGAGCACCGCAACGGGAGGAGCGUGCGGUUUAAUUGGAUUCAACGCCGGAA